rnacentral:rRNA from 1 species
GAACCCCGGCGAGGGGAGUGAAAAAGAACCUGAAACCGUGUACGUACAAGCAGUGGGAGCACCCUUUGGGGUGUGACUGCGUACCUUUUGUAUAAUGGGUCAGCGACUUAUAUUCUGUAGCAAGGUUAACCGAAUAGGGGAGCCGGAGGGAAACCGAGUCUUAAUUGGGCGUUAAGUUGCAGGGUAUAGACCCGAAACCCGGUGAUCUAGCCAUGGGCAGGUUGAAGGUUGGGUAACACUAACUGGAGGACCGAACCGACUAAUGUUGAAAAAUUAGCGGAUGACCUGUGGCUGGGGGUGAAAGGCCAAUCAAACCGGGAGAUAGCUGGUUCUCCCCGAAAGCUAUUUAGGUAGCGCCUCGUGAAUUCAUCUCCGGGGGUAGAGCACUGUUUCGGCUAGGGGGCCAUCCCGGCUUACCAACCCGAUGCAAACUGCGAAUACCGGAGAAUGUUAUCACGGGAGACACACGGCGGGUGCUAACGUCCGUCGUGAAGAGGGAAACAACCCAGACCGCCAGCUAAGGUCCCAAAGUCAUGGUUAAGUGGGAAACGAUGUGGGAAGGCCCAGACAGCCAGGAUGUUGGCUUAGAAGCAGCCAUCAUUUAAAGAAAGCGUAAUAGCUCACUGGUCGAGUCGGCCUGCGCGGAAGAUGUAACGGGGCUAAACCAUGCACCGAAGCUGCGGCAGCGAACGUAUCACUUAAAGCGAUUCAGCGGGUUACGAUUGACGGAGCGAAGCGACGUCAAAGCGU